rnacentral:lncRNA from 1 species
CUUUAGGGUUGGACUUGGUUUUACAGUUUUUGCUUCAUGCCUAUAGUGCAUUUUUUCCAGGACCAAAACGACUAAAAUACAAGGUGAGAUGUCUCGCUCAUGAGCAGUAUUCUGCCACUGCUCUGUCCUGAAUUUCAUAGCCUGUCAGGUAUUUGAUCAAGCAGUUUUGCGUCCACAGGUCGUCCACUCUUGCCCUAAAGCUAUGAUCAUUUGAAGUGCUUAGAAAAAAAGCUGAGUUGGUGAGUUCAGUUCGUCAAAAGUUGAGCAAACAUCAGCCUCAAGUCUCAUGGCUAUGGGCAGAAAAACCUUCAAGCACCGUCCUCUGCUCCCCUUAUCAUCCAUCGCUCUCUUCGUGACGUGAAUCCGCCCUUCUCCCAAUAGGCCCUGGGGCGAUGUGUCAGUGCGGAGGGGAGAAUGAAGGAGAAGCGCUCAAUUAGAGCCCAUUGACGUAUAGUCGUCACGCCUAACUAUCUUCUUCUCCCAUCACUGAUAGGUAGCUCUACAGAUGUUCACUCAGUCACACAGUUGUUACCUCAGACACCCACACACUAACUGUCUCACUCACUCAUUUCCCUUUUCAUUAACGCAGGUCCUUUCUAUCUGAGGUAGAUAGAACUCAAUGCUCAUUUAUUCUCCUGCCACUAUUUUAAACAGGGUUGUCCUGAUGCUGUAGUGCUGAAUAAGGAUACCUGUUAAUUAGCAAUGCCAGUCAGUGAGAAUUUGCAGAUUUGACACUCAACACAACUUAAAAGAAACCACAAGACUUGGACUUUAAUCUUGUCAGACAUCAGAUCUUAGGUUUAAUUUCACGCUUAUCCACAACUAGAGUUUUAACAUACCACAAAGCUUGGCAAGAAUUUCAAUGAGCAUGCUUUUUUAAAAUUUCAGAAUUAGUUAAUAAGUUAGUAUUACAUCUAGAAUUUAAAAGCAUUUUAGUUUAAUGCUUUAUUUAGUGUAAUAAAUAUGAACAAAAUAAUAUAAAGACAGACUCUGUGUUCAUAAAUUGCUAAUGGUGAAAUGCUAGGCAUUUAAGCUGGUUCUACUUUGCUCAGUUCAUUUGUCAAGGUAUCUUUGACAAGCAUUUCCAACAGAAUGCUGAACUUUGGACUGUAAAAAAGGAUUAUAAAUAUAUUUUAAAAAAAGAAAAUCCAUAAUUCAUCUUGGAAAGGAUGUUGGACUUUUGGCAGUUGACAAAGAGAAAUUAAUAGUUUACAAUUGCAGUUUUCAGGAAAAAAAAAUGUUUUGUUUUUUUUUUAAAAUUUUUUAUUUAUGACCCCCGGAAGUCAAAGUUCAUACGGGGUCAGAUGGAGGUCGCGGACUAACGUCGCCAUCACCGCGGAGGACGUGAGCAAACAUUUCGACAUGCCGUGAUGCUGAAAAACCGAACAAAAGUACAGCAAGAAAGAAAUGGGAGGAAAACGGACCACUGGAGGAUUAUUCUUAAACUAACCCAACACCAAAACCGGAGUUGAAACGCUUUGGGCAAUGCUGUGCAGGAGGACCAAGAGAAGAAAGUUCAAGAAGUGUAGGAACGAUAUCCUUCCGCGAGAAGAAUCAGCAACGCCAAACAGGUAAGGGACUAGAAAAAUUAUUUAUUUAUUUUACCCUUUACACCGUGUGCUUUUUCUAGUACAAAGUUGCGUUUCAAGCUAACUGUUAAUUCCUCUUUAUGCUCUUCUUACUAUUGCCUUCCUUGUGAAUGGAAACACACUUUCAUAUAUUAUUCCCUAUUUUGUUGAUUCACUGUUUCUGCUGUGAUUUUACAUUGAAAGAAAUGCUGGUUUGGUUUGCUUGUUGGGCUGUUGAUGCACUUGUAUGACUACUCUUUUGCUGUGUAUUGUGCUGUAUACUGUACUGCAGUAGCGCUUUUCUUUUGAUUGUAGUGUCUGAUUUGAUUUGGUGGCAUGGCUUUCUUAUUUGCUGUGUGACUGUUCAGUCACCAUUGCCUCUCUGUUGACCAGUGGUGUAGUUUUACCCUCUAAAGAUCUAGUUUGAGUUUCUUUUCUCUCAAGUGCAAGUCUAAUGUGAUGGAGAUAUGCCUGAAAACUGCUCACCUACCUGAUUCUGCAUGUCUGUGAAGUUCUGCAUGAACAAAUGUCAUAUCUUGUGCAUUUUUGGACAGCUGGAAUGCUUUUAGGGUCACCUUCAAAAUGGUAUGAAUGCUGCUUUAACAUGCAAACAGACACCUUGAGAAUGAAUAUGCUGCAGUUUCUGAUGGCAGGCUCAGACAUUUGAAAUGGUUAAUGCUUGUGAAUGUGACCUCCAGAGGUAAAACUUGACAAAAUGGGUGUAGAAAAUAGUAAAGUUGUCUUUUCUUUCUAUUCCUGAAUGCAAAAUAUAAAACUGGAACAAUAAUUCCUUACAGAGGUUGAUUGACUAUUUCCGUGCUGAAUUAUUGCUGAUAAUUAAUGAGGAAUAUUCAGAUCUGUGACAAUCUGUGAAUCAUCUCAAAGCGAAAGAAGAAAUGUAGUCUCCAGGUCUCUUACCUCCUUUACUUCUCCUCCUCCUCCUUCUCUCUCCCCCUGCUUGUUCUUCUUCUCCUUUUUCCCUACCUCCUUCCUCUUGACAUGUGUCACAUUUUGGGCUUCUGCUCUCGAGGGAUAAAUGCCAGAUUACAUGGUGUAGUAUUUUUAUCCGUAGUACAUUAACCGGCAGAGCUUACAGCAUCAAAGCUUGGAGGAGAUCAUAACACACACACACACAUAGACACACGCACACACACUUUCAGACACACUCUCAUAUCAGAACUGAAAAGGAGAGUGUAAAGUGCCUCCUUUGAUCUCUCCUUCCCUCCUAUUCCUAAUUACCCCAGUGACACACAUACAUGCUAACACACACAAUGCACAGAUGCCCUAGCAUGUACGAACACAUGCACACAAAGGAAUGUACUUAUGCCGAGUCUCUAUGAUAUCUAAAUCCACUAAAAAAUGGUGAAUUAGAUGUCAAAUGUUCAUCUGCAAAAAGCUGAACAAAGCAGCUUGUGUGGUGCAUGAUUACAGAUUAUUCUCUCUGAAAUUACAGAAAAAUUAAAACCACCUUCACUGAAUAUGCAGAAAAUCUUGAUCCGAUAAAGCUGUAAGAUACCCAAAGCUUCCACGUCUCUGAAGGAUUAUUUAAUCCUCAGAAAAACAGUCAAGUAUAGAGUUCAACUCUGUCAGCAAAUUUUCACACUUUUAUUACAGCUGCAUUGAACCUCUGUUUUCUAACACAAUACAUUUUUGUGAAGUUCAUUCUCAGCAAUCAGUCCUCAUCAUUAAUAAUACCGUCCAUAUCAUGUUUGUUUUUUAAUAAAGGGAAAAGGAAAUACCACAAAAUCAACAGGUAUUCAAAGCCUCGUACUUUGACUUUUUGUGUAAUUCUGAGUAAAAAGUACCUAAAUGCGAAAACCUUGGCUGUUGCUUGCAUUCCAUGUAGACAAUGAUUUGAUAAUAUCCUUACCCUGCCCAAAAUACAUCAUUACUGUGAUAUCCACUAAAUUAUCUAGCAUCAGUCAUACCCAAAACACAGGCCAAGUAUUACUCACUCGUACAUGCUUUUGUGCUAAUUUACAGUUUUAUUUUGCGUCUUUGGCAUUAUAGAUACUGACAACACAGCGAAUGUAGAGGUUAUUACUCCACCUCUCUAAAUCCAAUCCCACCAGACCCAUAGUGUAUGCCCGAGCACUGUCUACAGGCUCAUGCAUGCACGUGUCAGCAUACACAUACAACCAGACAGUAUGUUCUGGAUGUAAUGAUUCAGUCUGGACCACCACAGCAGACCACUUUCUAUUCUUUAAUUCCAGUCGCCACCCAUUGGUCCCAGUGACUCAUGGCUGUCCAGCACAGAUAAUACAUAGAUAGUUAUGGAAAAAGCACAUCAGCCAAAUAACUGGAUAAAUUCUGGUUGGAUACACCAUAAAAUUCAAAACAAAAUAAAACAAAGAAAGUGUAAUGUCAAACAAAACCCUCUUGACGAAUAACUCAUGCUCAUGGAGAGAUGAAGAACGGUCCUUCUAGUGGUUGUAAUUGCUCACCAGCUAUUAGGUGUCUCGCUCAAAUAGUACGAGUUUCUCACUUGCUCGCGGGUUUCGAACAGGACGUGAUAUGGCCCAUUCAGCCUGCUCAGAAUGCCGCCUUGUUGACCUCCGGGUGCCGUCAAACGAUCAAUGAGGGGAUGUUUUGCUCCGUUUCCACCACUGUUGCUAGAUGUGUGAAGAGCCUCACCCUACUUCAUGAGGUCAUCUUGGAGAGCAUUGAGUGGAGGGGAGAGGGGAGAGGCUGUGUGAAUGAAUAUGUGCCGCGAUGAAGAUUGAAACUGUGUGUUUGCUUGUGGCUGGGGUCAGUUGCUUGUAGGGGAGAUGUAGCAUUAGAGAGUUGUUGAGAGGCUGAAUAGGCACUACAGUACGUGCUGUUUAGGAGGAAUCAAUAAGGAUCCAUUCAUAGAGUGCCUGACUCCAGGCUGGUGUGCCUCAUCUAAUAACAGCUGGAGAUUAGGGGUACUUCGUGUAUUUGUGUGUGUCUGUAUGAGUGUAUCUCUCUGUACAGGUGCCCAAGUGUGUUCUUGAUCAGUUUAUGACCCUUUGAUUUUCCAGUUUGACCUUUCCCCCCGAAGGUUAAGUCCUGUAUGAGUUGAGGACUGGCUCUAAUAAAUCAUGAAGACUGGAUUCUAAAUGCUGGAGUGAUUUAUCGUUCUUGUAAUUAUCAGAAAGACCAUACUGAAUGACAGAAAUUCAAAUUAUCUGUAAUGCACCACAGUGGAGUAAUAAUGAUUAGUCUAUGAGUACUAGAGUCGGAGAAAAAAUCUAUUCAGCAGAGUAUCAUGAUAUUUUGUCUGGUGAUGUAUCGUAUCGCCUCACAGACCAAGUAUCGAUAUUUUCAAAUUAAUUGUUAAUGUGAAGUCAAAUCUAUGAUAAUAGAAACAUAAAAUCAAGUGUUUGUCCAUUGAGGUUGGCAGAGGUAACAUUGUAGAGUAGGAGAAAGUGAGUGCAACAAAUACAUAUAUAAGGUUUGUAGGAUGUGCUACAAAAAAAUAAAAUACAGUGUAAAUAAGACAAACAUAAAGAAAAAAAAUUUGCUAAACGAGCUAAACAGUUGAAAAAAUUGUGCAAAUCGCAACAUAUUGUAUUGCAUUACUCACUGUAUUGCAAAAUGUUAAAAAUUGCAAUAAUAUCAUCAAGUAUCAUAAUAAUAUUGUAUCGUGGCCAAAGUAUCGUGAUAAUAUCGUAUUGUGGCCAAAGUAUCGUGAUAAUAUUGUAUCCUGGCCCAAGUAUUGUGAUAAUAUCGUAUCGUGGGGUCACUGGUGAAACAAAAGUAGACCAUUCAGCAUGUCCAGAAAAAAAAAAGGAAAAACACUCAGAGCACAGAGCAAAAUACUUAAAUUGAUCAACAAUGAUAAAACAUUUAAAUGAACUGUGUCUUAGUUUCAUCAACAGCUUCAUUUCUCACAUAUUUUACUUAAAUAAAUUUGAAACACCAAGCACAUCAGUGUAUAGCUGUUUCUCCGUGUAUGUUCCUCUUCUUAGGUUAAAUGAGAGUCGUCUGAGGUUGAGCAGAGUGUUAAUGUCUGUCUCUGUUUCUCUGUGUGGGGUACACACUCCCACCAGGGGUGGCUGACAAGAGAUGACUGUGGCUUACCACACACUGAGAGUGAUGCUCUUCUUUAAUCUCCCUCCCUCAUUCUCUCUGUGUUUCUCUCUGCCUCGUCUUAAUUUCUCUCAACCCUGACAUGUAAAAGCCUCCCCUCUCAUCUUAACCAUGGAGCUAAUCCUUCAGCAGGUUUUUGGGGGUGUCGUGCUGUUUUGGGGCUCUUCUUCUGACACAACGGUUUAGUUUCAUAAUGGCUUGCAUACACCUGUCCAAUUAGGCUGAUUGUGAUGCACCUCAAACCACUAGACGGAUCCUGCGGUGUGGCACAGAGAUUUAGCCAAACACACUAAAUACUUCUGCUCUAGAGGGAUGUUUUUGCAGUUUUGUGACAAAUGUCUUUCUGUAAAUCCAGGUUUAGUGAAGGGUAAUUGAGGGGGCUUCAGGAGUCAGUUGUCAGAAAAGGACAAAAGUCUUUCCACUUAAUUUAAGUUCCACCGUCAGUUUACUCUGUGUCACAAAAGUGGAGAGAAUUAUAGGUUGUCUAAGGUUUAGGGGAGGGUUUAAAAAAAUUACAGAGCUAGAUUCAAACACAUCUGCUCGAGAUGGUGCACUGGCUUAAAGGUUUUUGUGUUUUAUUUAAAAGUAUAGCGAAAGGAGAGGUGACAGGAUAAGAGGAGACUCACAUUUCAGACAGUGUAUUUAGUAACAGAUAAAUUCACAUAUUAGGUUUUUGACAGACAAGUCAAACCUCUUCUUUUUCUAGUCAAACUGGCGCCAAUAUUGAGGCUUUGCACUUCUUACCACAACUAAAGAUAUCAUGUCUGCUGUCACAGUCUCUUAACUUCUCUACGGUAAAAGUUGUAGAAGUACAAAGGGUCACUUUGUGUUGACACCAUGUGCAGAGGCACAGGAAUGGUUUGUUUAGCACCCAAAGCUAGACUCAUCCUGAUUCGGCCCUCUAUAGGCAGUAUUAUAAGGCUUUUUUCAGAUCCAGUCCUGCCCAGAAAUCAGUGUUGCUAUAUAUAUUACUCUGCAUAUAUUGUUUAUGUCAUGAAAUGUCAUCUUUUUAUUCAUUAUUACUGGUAGUCAUUUUCUUUCAGUUGAAAACAAACCAGAAAAGUGUUUGUUGAAAACGCUUUUCUGGUCCGGGUUUGAUCAGUCGGUCAACCUGUUGGCAUGAAGAGCAGUAGCCUACAGUAUACCUACAAUAUAUAGUAUACUGUAGAUAUCUACAGUAUAUAUACUUUUUAUAACUUCCUUAAAAACCUUUACAAAUCGGUCAAUUAAUCAGUAAUCAGAUUUUUUUCCCCCCUAAUAAUCAGUAUCAGCAUCCGCCCCAAAAAAUCCAUAUCAGUCGGGCCCUAGU